rnacentral:lncRNA from 1 species
GGGGAGCAGUGGAACCACCUGGAUAUUUGGGGAAGAGCAUUUUCAACUGACUGAGAGAUUAGCAAGUGCAAAAGCACUGAAUGCCUGGUGUGUCUGAAAAACAGCGCCUUCCGGCUGCUGGGUUGAGAAGGUUCUGAAGGAACGAAGCGGCAGAAGCAAGGAAGCUAGUCAGGAGGCUGCUGUGAUAAUCUGGGUGAGAGGAGAGGGUGACUGGGAUCAGGGUGGUUGCAGGGGACGUGGUGAGACGUGGGACUAUGCUGAAGGCAGAGCCAACAAGACUGCCUGAUGGAUUUGAUGUGGGCUUUGAGAGAAAAGGAGGAAUCAAGGAUGACUCCAAGAUUUUUUGGGCUAAGCAACUGGAAGAACAGAUUUGCCAUAAAGUUAAGUGGGGAAAGAUUCAGAGGAGGAAGUUUUCUGGGGGAAGACCAGGAGCUCAGUGUUGGACAUGCCCAGAGUGAGAUAGCUUAUUAAAUGUUCCAGCUACAAUGUUGAAGAGAGAGCCAAAUCUGGAGUUCAUAGCAGCCAAACUGAAGAUAGGGAUUUGCAAGUAAUCAGUGUGCAGAUGGUAUCUGAUGCCACGAGACUGAGUUCACCAAAGUAGCAAGAACAGCCAAAAAAACAAGCCCUGGGAGCGAGCUUGAAGAUGCUGCAAGGUUAAGAGGUCAGGGAUACAAGGAGGGAUCAGGAAGAAGCAGCUAAGGAAGAGGACAACCAGGAGGAUGUGUCUUUGUGGAAUUCCAGUGAAGGCGCUGUCCCAAGGAGAUCAAUAUAAUCAGUGGUGUGUGCCUGAUAGGAUCUGUCUGCAGACCUGCUGAGUGUGAGGGUCACUGGCAGGUCAGAGAGUGCAGCUGAACUAUGAGGAAUCGAGAUUGAGGAGCAGUUUAGACAGGGCCAGGGUGUCGGGGAAAGGGCCCUAAGGAAUGAGUGGGAAUUUGUGGAUUAGGGAAAACAGCUGCCCAGAGGUGUCCAUUUUGGACCCCAGAUGCUGGGGUUAAUCCCCAGAGUAAAGGAGACCAAGGCAGUGGUGGGACAUGGGAAUGCAGCAAUCCUCCUGGGACCUCAGGCUCUGCCCCAUAAGAAGGUCUCCCAUGAGCUCUGAGGCUGCUGGUGCAGCUCUCCUCAGUCAGAUGGACCGACUGGCUGCCAGCCUGAUGGUGAGAGCUGAUGAUGGUAGGAGCUGCUAAAAUGAGGUCAGGUCUGUGUUAUGGGCUGAAUCGUGCCCCCUACCCCCACCCCCCAAUUUAUGUGUUGAAACAUUAACCCCCAGUAUCUCAGAGUAUAACUGUAUUUGGAGUCAAGGUCUUUAAAGAGGUGAUUGAGUGAAAUGAGGCCUUUAGAGUGGGCCCUAAUCCAAUCUGACGGGGUCCUUAUAAGAAGAGGAGAUGUAGAAACCAGAGAAGCACACAGAGAGGGGAAAAGGCCAUGUGGGACACAGCGAGAAGACAACCAUCUGCAAGCCAAAGAGAGAGGCCUCAGAGGAAACCAACAUUUCCAACACCUGGAUCUUGAAUUUCCAGCCUCCAGAACCAUGAGAAAAUAAAUUUCUGCUGUUUAGGUCACCCAGUCUGUGGGAAGACCUGCAAGGCAAGAAACUGAGGAUGGCUUCUGGCCAAAAGCCAGCUUGAACUGGGGCCCUCAGUCCCACAGCCCAAAAGGAGCAGAAUCCUUCCGACAACCACCCAAGUGAGCUUGGAGGCGCAUCCUUCCCCAGCUGAGCCUUCAGGUAAGACCACAACCUUGGCUGACACCUUGAGUGCAGCCUUGUGAGAGACUCUGAAGCAGAAGGCAGCAAAGCUGUGUCCAGAUUCCUGACCCACAGAAACUGUGUGAUAAUAGAUGUGUAUUGUUUUAAGGUGCUAAGUGUGUGCUCAUUUAUUACUCAGCAGGAGAUAAACAAUACAAUCCUGAAAUAGGUCCUUGGGAAAUAGAAGUUUGGACAGAUCUCCAAGAUUUCUUUCAGUGCAAACUUUCUACGGAACAGAUUAAGAGCCCACAGUCAGUACUCUUGGAUUGGUUAGCUUGUGGCUGCCCAUUGAUGCCUUGUUUAAAAGCCAGCUUUUUGUGUUUCAGAUUUUUGCAGAAGGCAGCUGGAGUUUGUUAAAUAGAGUCUCCCCAAAAUUCAUGUCCAUCCAGAACCUCAGAGUGUGACCUUAUUUGGAGGCAGGGUCUUUGUAGAUGUAUUAGGUUGAGAUUAUACUGGAUGAGGGUUGACCCUAAAUCCAAUGACUGGUGUCCUUGUAAGAAGAGGAGAGGACACAAAGAAACAUACAGAGAAGAAGGAGAUAUGAAGACAGAGGCAGAGAUUAGAGUGAUCAGCUACAAGCCGAAGAGCGCGAGGAUUGCCAAGAGUCACCAAAAGCUGGGAGAGAGGCAAGGAAGGAUUUUUUCCUAGAUCCGUUGAAGGGAGUGUGGUCCUGCUGACACCUUGAAUUUGGACUUCUGACUUCCAGAACUGUGAGAGAACACAUUUCUAUUGUUCUAAGCCAGCUAGUUUGUGGUAAUUUGUCAUGGCAGCCCUAAGAGACUAAUACAAUAGCAUAUUUACAUUUUUAAACUCAUGUAUGCCAUACAGAAGUCACUGGGAUUCUUGGAAUUUUCAUGAAGAAUUAUACAUAUUCCAUUAUGUGGCUAUGAAGAAGAAUGAUUUUGAAGAUUCUAGUUUGUGUAUUUCCUGGCCUGCUGUCAGGCCUGAUUUAUCUGAGGCACCCUCAGACCAGUUCCCAUUUCAGGAGGACCCGAGGGCAGGAUGAAGGGUGGGGAGGUCAGAGCCCUUGAACAGGGACCCUGGACCGCUCAGCACAAGGCACAGACUUCACAGCGCAGCAAAACUCUGCUUGUUUCUUCAGAAGUCAUUACGAAAGGUCUUUUUGGCAUUUUUGCUUCCUUUCUGGAGCUUUGGCCCACGCAGCGACCUCAGUGUCUCCUGACCAUGGAGUCACGUGCCUUUCUCUACUGUGGAGUUUGAGCUUUAUAAAGCCCCAGCUCUUUGGCAAUAGAGAGCGCGUGGGCCUGACAUCAGCAGUGGGGCGAAGUCUUUCUUCGGCUUUCCAUCCAUGUCCACAUGAUACCAAUGACUUCUGGUGGACUCCUGAUUUGACCCUCCGAUAGAGGAAGCUGCACUACGCAGAUUCUCCUGAGACAGGCCCUUAAAUGCUGAGCACAGCACUAGGUAGGCCUUCAGAGUUUACAAAGCUUCCCCAAAUACACUCCCAUUAGAGCCCCACAGCCACCCUGGAGGCAGGCAUCUCAAGUCCAUUUCACAGAGGAGAAGAUCUGUGUUCAGUGGGAGAAUGGGGAAAAGUAUGGUUCGAGGACAUAACCAGCAUGUGUUAAGUCUCCUCCUGGGACCAGCACUGUGUUGGAUGCUUUAUACACAUUUGAUCCUUUAAGGGAACUUGUGAGGCAAGUUGUAUUUUCAUGCUAUUUUUCUUUAAAGAUAGGAUAACUGUGAUGGACUGCAUGUUUGUGUCCCCCACCAAUUGACAUGUUGAAACCCUAACCCCCAAUGGGAUGGUAUUUGGAGGUGGGGCCUUUGAGAGGUGAUUAGGUUUAUAUGAGGUUACAAGUGGAGCCCCCACGAUGGGAUCAGUGUCCUCAUAAGAAGAGGAAGAGAUCAAGAGCUCUCUCUCCACCAUGUGAGGACAUAGCAGGAAGGCCGCUGUCUACAAGCCAGGAAGAGGCCUCUCACCAGACACUGGAUCUGCUGGCACCUUGACCUUGGACUUCCAGCCUCCAGAACUGUGAGAAAUAGAUGUUUGCUGCUUAAGCUGCCCAGUUGACGGUAUUCUUGUUAUAGUGGUGCAAACACACAACAACUAGGCUCAAAGAGGAAAGUGACACAGCAAUAAGUGGAAGAGCAGGAACUGAAACUCAGCUCUCUGUCUUGUGUUUAGUGCUUUUUCCCAUCACUACCUCCAUUAGCUAUCUUUUGCUGAACAACAGAUCACCCCAAAACAGUAGUUUAAAACAAUGACGAUAAUUUACGAUCUCACAGUUUCUAUGGAUUAGAAAUUUGGGAGCAGUUGGAGCUGGGCUAUUCUGGCUCAGAGUCUUUCAUGGAAUCCCAGGCAGGAUGUCAGCCAGGGCCUGCUGUCAUCGGAAGACUUGAUGGCAGACUCACAUGACUGACAAAGUGGUGCUGGCUGUUGGCAGAAGGCCUCAGUUUCUCUCCCCCAGGGCUGCUUGAGUGUCCUCACAACAUGGCGGCUGGCUUCCCCAAGUGAAUGAUCCAUGAGAGAGCAAGACAGAAGCCACAACGUCUUUUACGACUUUGCCUCAGAAGCCAAAUGGUCAUUUCUGCAAUAUCCCCUUGGUUGUAAUUAUACUUCAUAAUUUUUUUGAUGCUCUGAUGCAGUUUUAAAGAUUUUAUUUUUAUUUUUCCUUUUUCUCCCCAAAGUCCCCUGGUACAUAGUUGCAUAUUUUUAAUUGUAGGUCCUUCUAGUUGUGGCAUGUGGGAUGCUGCCUCAGCAUGGCCUGAUGAGCGGUGCCAUGUCCAUGCCCAGGAUCCGAACCGGCAAAACCCUGGGCCGCUGAAGCGGAUUGCGCGAACUUAACCACUUGGCCAUGGGGCUCACCCCUCUGAUGCAGUUUUAAACAACUAUUUUGAAGUAUAAUUGAUUUAUGGUCAACUACACAUAUAUGCAGUGUACAAUUUGGUGGGCUUUGACAUAUGCCUACAUCAAUGAAACGAUCACCAUAAUGAAGAUAACGAAUACUUCCAUCACCCCCAAAAGUUUCCUUAUGCCCCUUAGUAAACUACCCCUACUUCUACUCCUGCCCCCAGGCAACCACUGAUAUGCUAUCUGUUACUAAGUAUUAGUUUUCAUUUUCAAGAAUUUUUUUUUUUAGUGAGGAAGAUUGGCCCAGAGCUAACAUCUGUUGCCAAUCUUCCUCUUUUUGCUUGAGGAAGAUUGGCCCUGAGCUAACAUCUGUGCCGAUCUUCCUCUAUUUUGUAUGUGGGAUGCCACCACAGCAUGACUUGAUGAGCAGUGUGUAGAUCUGCUCCUGGGAUCUGAACCCACGAACCUUGGGCCGCCGAAGUGGAGCACACAAACUUAACCACUAUGCCACUGAGCUGGCCCCCCAUUUAAUUAAAUGGAACCACGCAGUACAUUCUCUUUUACAUCUGGCUUCUUUCUUUCAAUGUAAUGAUUUUGACAACCAUCCACGUUGUUAUGUAUAUCAAUAGUGCGUUCCUUUUUAAAUAUUAAAAAAUUUUAAUAGCUUUAUUAAGGUAUAAUUGACUUAUAAUAAAUUGCCUGUAUUUAACAUGUAUGCAUUGAUAAGUUUUGACCCACGAAUAUACACCAUGAAACCAUCACAUUAACCAAGAUAAUGAAAAUGUCCAUCACCUCCAAAAGUUUUCUUAUGCCCCUUCAUAAUCCCUCCCUCCUGCUUUUCUCUCUAUCCCCAACCCAGGAAACCACCGAUCUUGCUCUCACAAUGAAUUUGAUUGCAUUUUCUAGAAUUUUAUACAAAUAGAAUCAUACAGUAUUUCUUAUUUGGAGAUUCAUCUAUGGAGGUGCAUAUGUCAACAGUUCACUCUUUUUUAUUGCUGAGUACUAUUCCAUUGAAUAGAUAGGUCAUGAUUUGUUUACCUGUCCCUGUCAAUGGAGGUUUGGGUUGUUUCCACUUCUUGGCUGUUGUAAAGAAAGCUGCUACGAACAUUCAAAUGCAAGUCUUCGUGUGAACAGAUAUUUUAAUUUCUCUUGGGUACAUACCUAAAAGUGGAAUGGCUAGGUCAUACGUAAGUGUGCUGAACUUUUUAAGAAACCGUGAAGCUGUUUUGAAGUGCUGGUACCAUUUUACAUUCCCACCAGCAGUGUGUGAGAGCUCCCGUUGUUCCCCAUCCCUACCAACACUUGGUGUGGGCGGUCUUUCAGUGCAGUCAUUCCAGUGGGGCUGUGUGGUAUCUCAUCGUGGUUUUAAUGUGCCUUUCCCUGACAACUAAUGUGCUUAUUAGCCAUUCAUAUAUUGCCUUUUGUGAAGUAUUUAUUCACACCUUUUGCCCAUUUUUGAAACUAAACUGUUUAUCUUCUUCUGAGUGAAUAAAAGCAAAGUACAGAGAGUGUUAUAAACAUGUAAGUUAUUUAUACAGGAAGAGUGGGCCCUGUCUGGUUUCCCUCCUGGCCUCUAUAGCUCCCUGCCCACAUUGUGACCAGAAAUCUGUUGCUGGUGGAGGGGAAUUGUAAGGACCUGGGCAAAUGCAGCAAAGAGGGUCACACGGCAGAGGAGGCGGGGUAGAUAUGAGGUUGGCAGGUAUCUUAUGGCAUCAUAACCUCAUAUGACUGGGAAGGUCAUUGAGUCUGGGCACCUCUUACCACUUCUUUUUUGGUGAGGAAGAUUGGCCCCGACCUAGCAUCUGUUGCCCAUCUUCCUCUUUUUCCUUGAGGAGGUUUGUCACUGAGCUAACAUCUGUCCCAAUCUUCCUCUAUUUUGUGUGUGGGAUGCCACCACAGCAUGGUUUGACGAGCAGUGUGUAGGUCUGCGCCCAGGAUCUGAACUGGUGAACCCGGGCCGCCAAAGCAGAGUGAGCGAACUUAACCACUGUGCCACCGGGCUGACCCCACUUUCCACCUUUUGAUCCCAGCUCCCUUAUGGCUCCUGGUUGAAAAUCCUUCAAACUAUGGAUAUAUAAAUUACCAGGAAAUUUGGCUGCAAAGUGUAAACACUGUAGAUGAAUCCCAUCUCCAAACUGAUGCCCAAGUAAGGCAGAAGUAGCGGGGGGUGUGGGUUGGGUGGUCUUUGCUCUGCCCCCUGAGAGUGGUUUUGCACAUCACCGGGCACUUUACCAACAGUGACGAUUAGGAUGAGGAUUCUAACUAUUCUUUACACUGAUCGAGCAUGAAACAGUUUUAACAGCAUGCCCUUGCCUAUUCUACUUCUUCCGUCUGAGAUGGGCUUGGCAUCGGUCAGUGAGCC